rnacentral:lncRNA from 1 species
UUCAAAUGGCUGUAAUAGAUGUAAGAAUUAAUUUACAAACUUAUUUGAAAUUAAGAAAUUCAACAUUAAUAUAUUAUUAACGUUUUGGUUUAUUUAAUAAUUUUUUUUUUCUUGUUUUCUUUUUAUGAAUUCUACUACUAGUAAUCUAUUUUAUUAUAGUUUUAUGAAUAAUAGUGUACAUUCUAAUUAUGUUGAAAAAUAUUUUGAUUAUCUAUUUAUUGUUUGUUUUAUGAAAACAUUUUU